rnacentral:lncRNA from 1 species
UUUUUUUUUUUUUCUUUUUUUGCCUGCCCCAUGGCAUAUGGAGUUCCCAAGCCAGGGAUCCAAGCAGCUGUGACCCAAGCCACAGCUGUGGCAACAGGGAUCCUUAAACCAGUAGGCUGGGCCAGGGAUUGAACUCACAUCCCAGUGCUUCCAAGAUACCCAUUACACCAUAGCAGGAACUCUAAUAUUUGUCAUUAUUAAAUAUGCGUGUACCCUCUGACCUAGAGACCUGUUUCUAGUUAUCUUUCUUUUUUUAAAUUAAAAUAUAGUUGAUUUACAAUGUUUCUUCAAUACCUAGGACUCUUUCUUACAAAAAUUCUUAUUCAUACACAUAAACAUAAGGAUAGUUACUGAAGAAAUGUUUAUAACAGAAAAAUUUAGGAAAUGGCUUAAUAUCCAUCAUUAGGGAUAUAGUUAAAUUGAUUAUGAUAUAGCUAUAUUAUAAAUAUGUGUUUAUAUAUAUUACACAGCUAUUAAUAUGAAUGAGAUUAAAUGAAUAGAAUUAAAUUUAUCUUUUAAAAAAAUUUUUUUUUUUUGGCUAUACCCAUGGCAUAUGGAAGUUCCUGAGCCAGGGAUCAAAUCCAAGCUGCAGCUGUGACCUGUGCCACAGCUACAGCAAUGCCAGAUCUUUAACCCACUGUGCCACAGCAAGAACUCCUUGCAUUUUUUAAUUAAAAAAAUAUGGGGCAUUUCUGUUGUGGCUCAGCAGUAACAAACCCAACUAGUAUCCAUAAGGAUGAGGGUUCAAUUCCUGGCCUCGCUCAGUGGGUUAAGGAUCCAGUGUUGCCUUUUGCUGUGUUAUAGGCCAGCAGAUCCCAUGUUGCUGUGGCUGUGGUGUAGGCUGGCAGCUGCAACUCUGAUUCAACCCCUAGUCUGGGAAGUUCCAUAUGCUGCAGGUGCAGCCCUAGGAAGAAAAAAAAGGGGGGGGGGUAAACUACAGACAUUGAUAUUUAAAAGUCCUCCCAAGAAAAGGGAACCCUCCUACACUGUGGGAAUGUAAAUUGGUGCAGCCACUAUGAACAUAUAGAGGUUCCUUAAAAAACUAAAAAUAGAGCUGCCACAUGAUUCACCAAUCCUACUCCUGCGUAUAUAUCCAGAGAAAACCACAAUUCAAAAUGAUACAUGCACCGCAAUGUUCAUAGCAAUACAAUAGUCAAGACAUGGAAACAACCGAAAUGUCCCUCAACAGAGGAAUAGAUUAAGAAGAUGUGGGUCAUAUAUGCAAUAGCAUAUUGCUCAGCCAUAAAAAAGAAUGAAAUAAUGCCACGUGCAGCAACGUGGACAGACCUAGAGAUUAUCAUACUAAGCAAAGUACGUCAGAACGAGAAAGACAAAUACCAUAUAUCACUUAUAUGUGGAAUCUAAAAUAUGACCUAAAUGAACUUAUAUACAAAACAGAAACAGACUCAUAGAUAUAGAGAACAGACUUGUGGUUGCCAAGGAGGAGGGAAGGGCAGGGGAGGGAUAGACUGGGAAUUUGGGAUUAGCAGAUGCAAACUAUGACAUAUAGGAUGGAUAAACAACAAAGUCCUGGAGCUCCUGUCUUGGCUCAGCCGAAACAAAUCUGACUAGCAUCCAUGAGGACAGAGGUUCGAUCCCUAGCCUUGCUCAGUGGGUUAAGGAUCCGGCGUUGCUGUGAGCUGUGGUGUAGGCCAGCAGCUACAGCUCCGAUUCAACCCCUGGCCUGGGAACCUCCAUAUGCCGCAGGUGCGGCCCUAAAAAGCAAAAAAAGUCCUACUGUACAGCACAGGCAACUAUAUGUAAUAUCCUGAAAAAGAAAGUCUCCCAAGAUGCAGCAUAAAAUGAUCAACGUAAAUUAUAAAACAGUAGGUGUAGGAUGGUCAUUUAUGUAAUUAUGAAAGAGCUAUAUACACAUAUGUACAUAUAUACAAAGAAGGAUGCACACAAAACAGUAACCUCUGGGGAGGGGACAUCACACUUAGAUCUGUGUCAUCAUGGCUGGUCAGACUCUUACAGUAAGAAUGUAUUCAUGUAUUACCUCUUCUGGCUGCACCUGCAGCAUGCAGAAGUUCCUGGGCCCAGGAUCGAACCCAGGCCAGAGUAGUGACAAUGCCAAAUCCUUAAUUGCCAGGCCACCAGGGAACUCCCCAAGACCAAAAUAUUUUAAAAUACCACUUCUUAGAUUAGAAUAUAUGCUAUUAUAAAACAUUCAAAUAAUGCAAAAAAAGUGUAAUUUAAGAAAAUAGAUCACCAGAGAUGGACUCACUUACUUUCUUCUAUUCAUAUAUGUGUGUCUAUAGACAUAUAGAUAUACAUACAUCACUAUAUGUAUACCUAUUACUUUAAAAUGAAAUUGAGGAGUUCCCAGUGUGGUGCAGUGACUUAAGGAUCCAGCAUUGUCUCUGCAGUGACUUAGGUUGCAGCUACAGCUUCUUUUCAGUCCCUAGCCCAGGAAAUUCUACAGGCUGCAGGUGUGACCAAAAACAUUAAAAAAAUAAAAUGAGAUCAUGUCAUGUAAAUAAUUUAUAUCCUCUUGAUCUCUUCAUUUAAUAUUUUAUCAUGACCAUGUCAUAUGAUUAGAAUCUGAAAACAGAUUUUUUAAACCAUGAAAUAAUUCAAGCAUACAAAAAGCAUAGAAACUCACAUAGUGAACACCUGUGGACCCACCACCCAGCUGAAGAAACAAACAUUACAGGAGUUCCGUUGUGGCUCAGCAGGUUAAGGAUGCAGCACUGUCACUACAGUGGCCCGGGUGGCUGCUGUGGUGCAGGUUCAAUGCCUGGCUUGGGAAUUUCCACAUGCCACAGGUGAGGCCAAAAAAACAAAACAAAAGCAAACAUUACAGAUUAAUAAACUCCACUUGGACACUCCUCAACCCCAUUUUCCCUCUUCUUUCUCCAGAAGUAACACCUCAAUUUGAAUUUGGCAUUUGUCACUUUCACACAGGUUUUGGUCCUUUUAUAUAAAUGUAUGUAUGGAAAAAUAUAUAGUAUUUCUUUGCUGAAAACAGGCUUUUAAUACCUACUUCAUAUCCUAUAGUUUAGGUGUGCUAUAAUUAUAUACUUUGUCCCUUAUUAUUGAGCAUUUUUACAUUUCUUUUUAUGUAAGGUUGAAAUACAUUGCUACAAAAAAAGAUGCAGACUCCAUAGUGGAAAGACUCUAUUCUAUUCACAAACUCCAAAGCCAACUCCAUGUUUCUUGUGUCUUCUUUACUUGGCUCUGUUUUCAGAGAACUUAUUUGCAAACGCAUUAUGAAAAGCAGAGCCAAAGAAGCAGUGAGUGAGAGGUGAGCUCUUCCCAGUCCUGAGCACGAGUCCUGUUCAGUGUUCUUCUUCCUUGGGACUCCAUCAAACUUGCACUAGUUGUCACACUGGGCUGGUAGGUUUCUCUUUCCAAAUUCAACUCUUUCUCCUUUAUAAUGUGAUCAUUCUAUACCUACGGUUCUAAUCUAGCCAUAAUCGCUCUUUCUCUCCAGGCUUAAGUUUCUUCAAAUAAGUCAAACAUCUGUCAUCUGAAUUGACAUUUCAUCAAAAUGACAGUCACUUCUUGGAAGUCAUUAGUCAGUAUAUCAAUCACUGGGAAGUAGGACACAAUAAAAAUACUCACCUUUGAAUAAACAUGCUAUAAUUUAUAUGUUCUCAUGAAGAAGGAAUAACUUAUCCCAGGCAUUGCUGAAAAUGUCUUUGAAAGUCUUCCUUUGGAAUUGCCUUCAGAAACUGAAUUUCCUACAUAGUGACCAAAUUUUUCCUUGGACAGUAGGUUCUAUUUACAAAAGUACCUCAUGGGAGUCUGGAUCCAGAGCUGAGGUAAAGGAGCUGAGUAGCAGUGCUGGUACCAACAGGAGCUGGGCAUGUCUGGUCUUGAGGUGACAACAAUAUGGCCACACGGGCUGUAGAUGACCAGUGUCCAGACCGAUUGGUCAGUGCUUGUGCCAUCUCAGUUAUGAAAAUCAUUUGAGGAGUUCCCGUUGUGGCUCAGCAGUUAACAAACCCGACUAGUAUAUAUGAGGAUGUGAGUUCGAUCCCUGGCCUCACUCAGUGGGUUAAGUAAGGAUCCAGCGUGGCUAAGACCUGUGGUGUAGGUCACAGACACAGCUCGGAUCUGGUGGUGUUGUGGCUGUGGUGCAGGUCAGCAGCUGUAGCUCUGAUUAGUCCGCUAGCCUGAGAACUUCCAAAUGCCACAGCAUAGCCCUAAAAAGAAAAAAUAAAAUAAAAUUCACUUUUGGGAGUUCCCUGGUAACCUAGUAGUUAAGGAUUGUCACUGCUGUGGCACAGCUUUGAUCCCUGGCCCAGGGAACCUCCAUAUGUUCCAUAACCUCCAAAACAUAUGCCAAAAAAAAAAAAUUGCAUUUGUUUUGUAAAAUACAUUCUUCUGCUAAUAACCAACACAAAUCCUCAUGAUUCGGUGUUCAAAAGCAAUGCGGAUAGGCCAAUUUCUGUAUUACAACACACCCAGAUGUAGUACUGACACAUAAUUUCCUUUAGUUUACACAGGAUAUUGCCGUGUUGGAUUGGCUACAGCAGCUUGGUGUGGCAAACUGGGCUAUACCAGACGCUCGGCUGUGUCUUCCUGGUGGGUCCGAGGAGCAUCGUGUUUCCUGUCAAGCAUGUGAGUAUUGGAGUUCCUUAAACUUAUAAAGUGACAGUUAUAGUUUGAUUUACACGUAUUGCACUAUAGUUUGCAUUAUAGUUAUUUGCAUGCAUUGCGUUAUAACUGCAUUAUAGUUUGAUUUACAUGUAUUGGGAAAUGAUGACCACAAUAAAUUCAGCCAACAUCAAUCUUCUUAUAUAGAUACAGUAGAAAGGUUUUUUUAAAAGCAUUGUCGAUAUCAUUCUUCCAAGAAUGGCCUAAACAUGCUCAGUAUAAGGAAUUUUACCUUUCACAGUGGGAACAGCAGGCAUCUCUCUUUCCUAAGAGUGUUCCUUUAAUUCUUAGCUCUGUAGGGUUCCAAGAACUGUCAGGACAAUGUCAGAAACUGGUCCUUUGUUACCAACUCUCUUCCCUUUAUGGUUUUUGAUCCUCCCCCACCCCCUCCUGUGACCUAUCAUGUGACUUUGCAGUCCCCCACCUAGCUGGCAGUGAAGUCCAUUUCCUACGUGGUGGAUGUUGGGCUUGGCCCUCUGACUCAGUUUUGCCAAUGGCAUGUUAGUGGAUGUGAUACAAGCAAAGACUUGAAAUAUUCAUCUGGGCUAGCCCUUUGGCAACUUGCACUUUUGUCAUGACCAUGAGAUAAACAUGUCCCAGCCAGCCUGCUGGUCCAAGAAAUGUGAAAGAGACCUGGAUCCAACCUUUAGAUCGGGUUUGGAGUUAAACCAGGUCAAGUGCAGGCUAUACCAAGCAACCUGAAGACAUGUUAGUGACAACACCAUUGCCACUUACACUACUGAGUUUUGGAGGGGUUUGUUACACAGCAAAAGUUAAGUGAUAAACUUCUAACCCUCCACUUCUGGUGAACUAUAGAUAAAGAUUUUUUUUAAAAAAAAAAAUCCACAAAUAGGGAUUUUGUGGCUGUGGUUAUGAACCCAACUAGUAUCCAUGAAGAUGCAGGUUCAACCCCUGGCCUUGCUCAGUGAGUUAAGGAUCUGGCAUUCCCGUGAGCUGUGGGGUAGUUUGCAGACUUGGAUCCCGCGUUGCUGUGGCUGUGGCUGUGGUGUAGGCCAGCAGCUACAGCUCCAGUUCAACUCCUAGCCUAAGAACUUUCACAUGCCACGGGUGCUGCCCUAUAAAGACAAAACACACACACACACACACACACACACACACACACACAAAUAGAUGAAUAGAUAUAUAUGAAGUAAUGUAUAAAUUUACAUAAAUAGCAUAGAAAUACAUAUGACCAAAUUUCUGGAGGAGAACUUAAUUCAGUAGGGUUUUUUUUCCCUUCCUCAAAAUUUCCAAGUAACUUAUAUGUCAAAAUGGCUUUAAUAAAUACAAGAAAAAACAUAAAACAAAAAUUCAAACCUUGGAGUUCCCAUUGUGGUGCAGCAGAUACGAAUCCAACUAGGAACCAUGAAGUUGCAGGUUCGAUCCCUGGCCUCGCUCAGUGGGUCAGGGAUCCGGCAUUGCCAUGAGCUAUGGUGUAGGUCACAGACACGGCUUUGAUCCAGCAUUGCUAUAGCUGUGGUGUAGCUCUGAUUGGACCCCUAGCCUGGGAACCUCCAUAUGCCGUGGGUGCAGCCCUAAAAAUACAAAAGACCAAAAAAAUAAAAAUAAAAAAA